UACGUAGGGUGCGAGCGUUAAUCGGAAUUACUGGGCGUAAAGCGUGCGCAGGCGGUUCGUGAUGUCUGAUGUGAAAGCCCCGGGCUCAACCUGGGAACUGCAUUGGAAACUAGCGGGCUGGAGUGUGGCAGAGGGGGGGUGGAAUUCCACGUGUAGCAGUGAAAUGCGUAGGAGAUGGAGAUGGACGGAAGCACCGGAUGGCCGGAAGGCAGCCCCCCUGGGCUAACACUGACGCUACAUGGCAACGAAAGCGUGGGGAGCAAACAGGAUUAGAUACCCCUAAGUAGU
rnacentral:rRNA from 1 species